UCGUUGGCCGCAGCCGACCCUCACGUCCCUCUCCCACAUCCUGACUCCUCUGAGACUCGAGGAAGGGGUUCUUUUCCUGUGUGCACCCUCAGGCUGGGUGAGGGAUCAGAAGACCCCGUGGGCCGCCUGCACAGGGGGCAGGACCCUGGUGGGGCGUAUUUCGCUGGCAGGCAGGGCUGGGCCCAUGAAAGCACCCUUUCUUCUUGGUCACGGGGCUCUGGGGCAGAAUCGGAUUGAGUUUCCUUGGCCAACAGGUUGGCUUUGUUCUCUUGUCCAGAUUUUCAUCUACUUGGCUCCUGAGUUGCUGCUCGGCUGCUUUCUGACCCGGAUUCACUGAGCACACAUCAGGCCCUCUGUGAGGUUCAUGGGAGGGGGGUGGCCCGAGUCCAGGACAGGCUGACAGUGAGGGAACCUUAGGGGGAGGAUUCCCAGCCACAGACCAGGCUGGGCCUCUCCAGGGUUCUCUGAAGUCAAAUCACCUGUGCAGUGCCCGGCCUUCGGGUCCCUUCCUGCUCCCCAAAUGCCUUUCCUGUUGAGGGGUGAACACCCAGGCCCUGUCUGAGGGGUCCAGCAUGGCCAGGGUGUGGCUCUGGGGCUGCAGCGCUUAUGAUCUGGGAGGAGGCCCCUUCCCCCCUGCCUGUCUCUCUCCGGAGUCUCUCCAGACUCCUGCUGGUCCCAGGGCCUUCCAUGGCGUAGAGUAUGUACAAAUGGGUUCUGUGGGCUGAACACACCCGAUGGAAACCUCUUUCCCCCGAAGGCUAGGAAGAACACCAUUCAAAGGGGAACUCCCUUCUGUUGAGUGGGAUUCUGGGUAAAGACAAGGAAGAAAGAGCUGUUGGUGCCGUCAUUAAUUUCCCGAGAGGAGGUAGGUUCUCUGUGGCUUCUCCUUGUCCUGAGCACAGAGAAAAGAGCUCUGAUGCCCCUUCCCCUUCUUAUAAGAGCACUAAAACCAUCUUGAGGGUCCCACCCCCACUACCUCAUUUAACCUGUCACCCCAUGUCUCUUUUUCUUUUUUAACAUUAUUCAUCAUUCAUUUGAAUGAUAGAGUUAUAGAGAGAAAGAGAGAGAAGUCUUCCACCUGCUGGUUCACUCCCCAGAUGGCCCUAACAACUGAAAGCUUGGCCUAUUGGAAGUGAGGAACCAGGAACUUCUCCUGGGUCUCCCACAUGGGUGCAGGGGCCCAAGCAUUUCGGUCAUCUUCUGCUGCUUUCCCAGGUGCAUUAGCAGGAAGCUGGAUUGGAAGUGGAGCAGCCCAGACACAAACAGGUGCUCCUAUGGAAUGGUGGUGCUGCAGACCACAGCUCAACCCUCCUGUGCCACAGCGCUGGCCCCUCUCUGUCUUCUUAUCACCACGUUGGAGGAAUUGGCAGGUGUGUUCGAAGGGGAGCCGAGAGCUGCCGGCAGCCUCUGGAAGCACUUUUGCAACAGAAACUAGCAAGGGCGUGGCAUCCAAAGGUGCUGGGGUGGCUGGCGUUUCUGUCUCCCUGGGCCUGGCGGGUCAGAGGUCUCCUCCUACCUCCAGUCAGGAAGGCCCCUUGGCUGCUUGUGGAAGAUGGACUUUUUCGCUUCUUUUCCUUGCAGGGACCGGCAUUGUGGUGUAGCAGGUGCCGACACCGUCAUCCCAGAUGGGUGCUGGUUGAGUCCCGGCGGCUCCACUUCCGAUCCAGCUUCCUGCUGAUGUUCCUGGGAAAGCAGUGGAAGUUGGCCCAAGUGCUUGGGCCCCUGCACCUAUGUGGGAGACCUGGAUGAAGCUCCUGGCUCCUGGCUUCUGCCUAGCCCAGCCCUGGCCAUUGUAGACACCAAGGGAGUGAACCAGAGGAUGGAAGACCUCUGUCUCUCUCUCCCUCUGUCUCUAUAACUUUGACUCUCAAAUAAAUAAAUAGAUACUAAAAACUACUUGCAGAGCACUGGAUUAGGAGUCCAGAGCCCUGAGUCUGGAGCAGCCCCGGUUCAUGGCUGCCGCGUCUGCUUGGGCCCCUCAACCCUGGGUCCCUCUACUCAGCCCCGCGGUGAUCUCUGUAGUCACAGACAGCAUCCCGGCCCCUGCUCCUCUUAACUUUCUGCCUCCUGAAGGCCAAGGCCACAGCACCCUGUUCUCCUUGGCCUUGUAUACCCCCUCCUCCUUGGCCACAUGUACCCCCUCUUCCUUGGCCACGUGUACCCCCUCCUGCUUCUCCUGUGCCUUUGCCAACACUGUACCUGCAGAACAAGUCAGACCUGGGUGCUGUGUGUGAGACUCAGAGCCCAGCAGCCCAGGCCAGGCUUGGAUGGACUCCAUCUCCUGCU